AGGAACUAGGCCGGAGACAACAGAAGCUGAACUCCCUUCCACAGCUGCACAAGGACAAACCAGCAGUGCUGCAGGAACUGGGCCCGAGACAACAGAAGCUGAACUCCCUUCCACAGCUGCACAAGGACAAACCACUCAUGCUGCUGGAACUGGGCCGGAGACAACAGAAGCUGAACUCCCUUCCACAGCUGCACAAGGACAAACCACUCGUGCUGCAGG